AUUUUAUUUUUCCAUUACAGGCCCCACCGAUGGGGAUUUAGCUGAAACGGAUUAGAUAUGAUAUGUAAUAAUAAAGUAAAAGAUAAUGACAUAAGCUUUUAAUUGAAUCUAAGAUCUACCAUCCGAUUAGACUUGCCCGUCUCUGAUUCGGUAAGCCUACCAUUUAGUAGAUCAUCGAGACGGGGAGGAUUCUUACCGUCCGCUCUUUUAAGACACAAACCAAAACGCGGAUUUGCGCAGAGAGCCGAAAAAACAAAGACAGUAUAAAUGCGAAAUAUACAAAAGAGCGGAUCCGCCAAAUGGAAGCGACCAAAUUAGCAGCGCUGAUUCGGUUGCCAUAGUUUCAGAGUCUGUAGAUUCUCUCUUUUAGUCGUUGAUCAACUCUGUGGCUCCUUUCUUUUCAGAAUUUAUUACAGAGGAUUUUGUUACAGUGUAUAUAAGUCUACCAUAUCAAAAAUAACAACAGUAGAUAUUAUUCUUCGGUUCAUAUUCUAGUCUUUUCGGGUAUCUCUUUGCUGUGCAACAGCGGGAUGAUUUUGUUUUGGUAUCUACUCUUACAAUCUUAAAAUUGAUGUUAAUUUUCUAAUUUUUUAUUUUGUUUCGUGAUGAAAUUAGGAAAGGAGCAAAAAUGGCGAUGAGAGAAGCGAAACUCGCUUACCUUGUGUUGCUGUUUAUGAGAUUAGCGAUGGUUUGAUAAAACCCCAUCCAGAAGAUCUAUCCGAGUGUCCAUCAAGAAUCCCAAGUAUCUCUAAUAACUGCCACUACCAGUAAAAGAAGCGGUCAACAAAACAUCCUCAGUGAAUCCCACGAUUCCACUAUCUGUUCUUCCACCAACCCCAAGCACGGUUGUUAUGGCUACAAGGAACGCAUCGAGAGCUUGGAAGUGGGGCUCGGCGGCCUGCAAGACAGCUUCAACCGCAUGGAGUUGGGACUAACCAAGCGAAUGCGGAUGCUAGAGGAAAAUAUUAACAGACUCUCGGACUCGAUCACCAUUGGCCGAGAAGUGUCCAGCAGCAAUCACCACAGCUGACCCGGACUGCUUUGCCUAGAUUACGACGAAAGUAUAGAACGUGAAGAAGGUAGGCUCCCGACCUUCCCGCGAUUGACUCGGCUCGAGUUUCCCUCAUUUAGCAGAGGCGACCCCACCAAAUGGCUCAAUAGAGUGGGAUAGUUUUUCGAUUUCCAGGCGAUGGCCAAGCACCACCGCGUCGCUCUGGCUUCCUUCCAUCUUGAAGGGGAAGCCAAUUGCUGGUGGCAAUGGCUCAGCAAAACGUACAAGGAAGGACCGGAUCGUGGAUUGGACCAGUUUUGAAGAGGAGUUGUGGGCCUGUUUUGGGCCAACCGAAUUUGAAGACUGUGAUGAAGCCUUGACCUACAUCAAACAGACUGGGUCGUUAAGGGAUUAUCAGCAGGAGUUCGAGAGGUUAGGCAAUCGGGUCCGAGAAUAUACCCAAAAGGCCUUGGUGGGGGCUUUUAUUGGCAGGCUCAAGCUCGAGCUCGCUGAUGGAAUCAAGAUCUUCUGGCCUAGGAGCCUUAAGGACGCUAUCGGCCUGGCCCGUAUGCAUGAAAAAUAAGUGGAUCAUCAGAGAAAGAUGAACCGACCUGAACGGUUCGUGACCGGUUCGUCUGCAAACCACAUAGUCUCCAAAACACCAAUCGGGCGCACUCAGCAAACCCUAGUUGCCCCGAACACAACAAAAUGCAACUCCUGGGAUAAGAUGCAGCAGUGGCGAGCACAAGGAUUGUGCUUCAACUACGAUUUCUCGGCAGGCCAUUGAUGCCGCAAAUUGCAGCUCCUACUCCUCGAAGGAGGUAGUGUCGGGGAAGAAAAAGUCAACAAAGAGGACCCAGAAAUCUCUCCACGUCCUAACUGGGUAGUCCACAACCCGAACCAUGAAAGUACCAGCUUCCGUUAGACGGCAAAAGGUCAUCGUCCUCAUCGACAGUGGAUCUACCCAUAAUUUUAUCAGUGAUCGAAUAGCGGGUCGCUUGCAGGUUCCUGUAAUUCCGAUGCCUGCAUUUUCGAUCAAGGUGGCCAACAGGGAUCCGAUGAAAUGCUCCGACCGCUUCGAGCACGUGUCGAUCUCCCUUCAAGGUAUCCCCUUCUCCCUAACUUUUUACUCAUUACCACUGAUCGGGUUUGAUGUUGUUUAGGAGUUCAGUGGCUUGAAUCAUUGGGACUGUUGCCUGUGAUUGGAGGAAAAUAACGAUGAAAUUUCUCUAGAUGAACCAACCGCGGCGAUUGUGCAGCCUGGGUGCCUCGCCACUCUUGGUGGCUUCCCCGGAGGAAAUCAGCAAGUCUGUGGCCAAGCAACACUCUGCAUAUGCCAUCUGUUUUAUGAAAAAACACCAGGUCCCCUCUCCAUUUGAGCAGCCCGAGUUACGACAGUUAAUUGACCAGUUUUCUGAUCUAUUUGAAUAACCCAAGUAGUUUCCUCCUCAAAGAGACAUUGAACGCCGAAUCCGAAUCUCCCUCAAAGAUGGCAUUGAACCAGUAAAUGUGCGUCCAUACCGCUAUACACAUUUUUAGAAAUCAGAAAUUGAAAGAUAAGUGUUUGACAUGCUCAAAGGUGGCCUCAUUCGGCCAAGUACAAGUCCAUUUUCAUCACCGGUGCUGUUAGUUCGUAAGAAGGAUGGGACUUGGCAAUUUUGUACUGAUUAUUGAUCACUCAACACGGUGACCAUCGAGGACCGUUUUCCUAUUCCGACAAUGGAAGAUAUGUUGGAUGAGCUGCAUGGGGCCGUAUAUUUCACCAAACUAGACCUCACUGCCGGAUAUCGUCAAGUCAGAGCCCACCAUACAGACAUAUCGAAGAGUGCGUAGUGCCAGCUGGUUUUCUUUGGUGAUAUUCUAGUGUAUAGUGCCAGCUGGGAAUUACAACUCGUCCAUGUCAAGACAGUUUUUGGGGUCCUCAAACAUCAUCAGUUUUUUGUGAAGCUCAAAAAGUGCACAUUCAGGUGUCAAAAGCUAGAAUACUUGGGUCAUAUCAUUACCUCAGAAGGUGUCAAGGUAGACCAACAAAAAAUUCAAGCUAUGUUGGAAUGGUCGAGACUUACUAUGAUCACAGAGCUCCGAGGUUUGUUAGGAUUCACUGGUAUGAUCGCAAGUUUGUACAAAACUAUGGAAUAGUGGCUCGUCCUCACACCAACUUACUAAAAAAAAUGACCUUCAAGUGGAGCACAAAGGUAGACAUCGUAUUUGGUUGAUUUGUCCUAUAUGUGAAAAUCUAAAUCAGGCAAAUCUUUACUCGGAGUAGAGCCUAAACCUACAAAAAUUGAAUACAAAAUGAAAGAAGCCAAUUCAGGAAUACGAAAACACAUCGCGAUUUGGAUUUUAUCUCAAUGAAAAAAGCAUCAAUGAGAAGUUAGUCCGAUAAUCUUAGUGAA